GACGCUUAACGACUGAGCCACCCAGGCGCCCCUGAAAUAAUAAUUUUAAGUUCUAUGUACGGUAUGUUCCAGACCCUGUUCUAAUCACUUCACAUGUGUUAUCUCAUUACCUUGUAAGAAAAAUUCUGAUAUGUAUUAAGUUUAUCUGAGGAGGGAACUGGUGUACGUAGAGAUUAAAUGACUUGCCCAAGAUAACACAUUUAGUAACUGGUGAAGCUGGAAGAUGAAGAGUCCGGUACCAGAGCCUGUGCUUGCAACCACUAUAUUUGUAUGACUACCUCAAUAGUGGUGAGUGUGUUGUGGGAAAGUACUGGAAUAAAAAUAAAGCAAAUGGUUCUGAUCCCUGCACUGCAUGUAAGAAGGUCUCAGUACUUGGUGAACUCUUCAGCCUUUUCUUUCAAGAGACAUUGGCCCAAUCAAAGUGCUCAUUUUAUUUAUUGUUUCAUUCACUCAACAAAUGUUUCUGGAGCACUACCAAUUCAUAUGACUCUAUAUUGGAUUUUAGGAAUAUAAAGACAGGUGAGAUUCAGUCCCAUUCCUCUAACGGUUCACACUCUAGCGUGGAGACAGCAGGUGCUGUAAGUGGUGUCAUAGAGGUAGAAGUUACAUGUUACAGUCUGGGAGCACAGAGAAGGGGUACUUAAUUAAGAAUUCGAGAAAAGUCUAGAAAAGACUCUGGAGGGGAUGAAAUAUGAGGUGAAGCUUCACAGAUGCAAUGAGUUGAAGAUGGACUGGAAUGGAAGAUGGGAGAAAAGAGAUACUUGAAUGUGAGUUCGAUUAAUGGACCUCGCAGGAAACGGAAGCCAUUCAUAGGAUGGCUGAAUUAUCUCCAAGCUUAAAAUUCUUUAGAGAGUUUUUAUUUUUAUUAUGUAUUUAUUUAGAAAGAUGACUUUAUUUUAAAAUAUAGAGAGAAGCAAAACAGGAAACCUGGAGACAAGGGUAAAGAAUAAGAAGGAGCAGCCAGCAAAUUAUGAGGAAAAUGAACAAACAAAAAUGGGUCAGGGCAAGGGAGGAGAGUUUCAAAUAAAAGGUUGAUGACAGCAGUGUCAUACAGAGAUCAGUUGGGAAUUUCUAUGUUCUAGGCAUGUUACAGGCUCCUUAUGUGUACUAACUCAGUCAUUCAAGAACGUUUUGCUGUUUAAUCCUCACAACAGCCCCAUCUUAUGGAUGAGGGAAAUGAAGUACAAGGAAGUUAAGUGUUUCGUGCAAGAUCAUGCUGCUGGUCACACAAAAGUUGGGAAGAGAAAGAUGGAUGUCAACUAGCCUAUGUCCCAGUCUGGGCUGAGGAGGAGCAAAGAGCUGCCUAAAGAAACGAGUAGCUGGGACAAACCGCAGAGGUCAAGAUGGCCACUGGCCAAUGGAACCGGCUGCCUGGGUCCACACCCACCAGCCACCCUCACGAGCACCACCGAGGUGCCGCGAGGACAGCAGAGCUGCCGGCCCCAAGCAUUACAACUUCUGGAAUGGAGACGCAGGAGCUCACUCUUCAGACAUGGUCUUGAUGAUGCCUUUGUGCUCCUUUGUGGCCUCCCAGUUCCUGCCGUUCAAUCCCUCAGCGACCACACUCCACCCAGUGCCCUCCUCCAGGCAGUGUGGGGCCAAUCCAGAGCCUCCAGGGUAUGAGCGGGGCGUGCAGAGGCGCUGGAUGCCCCCGCUCUUACAGAAGGUGAUGAGAGAAAAACUCUCUGAAGACCUCAUACACAGGGGAAGCCGUUUGGAAAUUCUUUCUAAGAUAGCAUGACCAUACAUAAACUUUGCUCAAACCAAAAGCCUAGUGUAUGGUGCACCACGAAUACACUGUACGUCCGCUUUGUAAAUGAGUAGUCUAAAGGAAAGCCAGCCUGUCCUUGAGCCAUCGGUGGAUGUUCCUACUCCCGACAUUCCUUUGUGAAAAAGCUCAUUCCUGCCUGUAUGCCAAUCUGUAGUCUUUUGAGCUCUUACAAGGUAUAAAAAAGUAUAUGACCCUGUAAAAACCGCUCCUUCUCCAGAACACUUUCUUCCCUGUGAAGAGCGCGUUUCCUGGCAGCCGGCCUAAGUUGGGCUCAAAUAAAAUUCUUUUUUUCUUACUUCU